CAGUAGCCGCGGGAAUACGUAGGUGGCAAGCGUUGUCCGGAAUUAUUGGGCGUAAAGGGCUCGCAGGCGGUUUCUUAAGUCUGAUGUGAAAGCCCCCGGCUCGACCGGGGAGGGUCAUUGGAAACUGGGAAACUUGAGUGCAGAAGAGGAGAGUGGAAUUCCACGUGUAGCGGUGAAAUGCGUAGAGAUGUGGAGGAACACCAGUGGCGAAGGCGACUCUCUGGUCUGUAACUGACGCUGAGGAGCGAAAGCGUGGGGAGCGAACAGGAUUAGAGACCCCCGUAGUCCCUGUCUCUUAUAC
rnacentral:rRNA from 1 species